rnacentral:rRNA from 1 species
ACAGGACUGGCUGGUAUUAAGCCGGAGGAAGUGGGACGACGUCAAGUCAGCAUGACCUUUAUAUCCAGGGCUACACACACGCUACAAUGGUCAAGUACGAAUGGGUUGCCAAGCCGCGAGGCGGAGCCAAUCCUAAAAAGACUGGCCUCAGUUCAGAUUGCAGUCUGAAACUCGACUGCAUGAAGUCGGAGUUGACUAGUAAACGCAGGUCAGCUAUACUGCGUUGAAUACGUUCCCGGGCUU